rnacentral:rRNA from 1 species
UGGGGAAUAUUGCACAAUGGGCGCAAGCCUGAUGCAGCAACGCCGCGUGCGGGAUGACGGCCUUCGGGUUGUAAACCGCUUUCAGUUCCGACGAAGCGCAAGUGACGGUAGGAACAGAAGAAGGACCGGCCAACUACGUGCCAGCAGCCGCGGUGAUACGUAGGGUCCGAGCGUUGUCCGGAAUUAUUGGGCGUAAAGGGCUUGUAGGCGGUUUGUUGCGUCGGAAGUGAAAACUCAGGGCUUAACCCUGAGCCUGCUUCCGAUACGGGCAAACUAGAGGGAUGCAGGGGAGAAUGGAAUUCCUGGUGGAGCGGUGGAAUGCGCAGAUAUCAGGAGGAACACCGGUGGCGAAGGCGGUUCUCUGGGCAUUUCCUGACGCUGAGAAGCGAAAGCGUGGGGAGCAAACAGG